rnacentral:tRNA from 1 species
GCUGUUGUAGCUCAGUGGUAGAGCACCUCCUUGGUAAGGAGGAGGUCGGCGGUUCAAUCCCGCUCAACAGCUCAA